rnacentral:sRNA from 1 species
GGUGUAGGUGGAUCCGGGGCAGGCUCAGGACCAAGACCCUCUGCUUCCACCAAGGAGCGCCCAGAGGCCGGCGGCAGCUCCAGGUUCACCUCCUCCUUCUCCAG